rnacentral:piRNA from 1 species
CCCGCAGGUAGUCGUGACACCGGAGUCGG